rnacentral:lncRNA from 13 species
CAUCAGCUCUAGCCAUGGCAUUUCUAUAUGCAACGUUCGAAAACGUUUAGCAACUGAACUUGGCCCUGGUAUAAUAUUUUAGUAGCCUUUGGCAGAUGCAUGUUUUUGGUGCAUGAAUUAAGCAAGAAGGCCGCCCAGUGGUUAGAGCGUUGGACCAGUAACCGAAAGGUUGCUGGAUCGAAUCCCCGAGCGGACAAAAUAUGUUAACCCACUGUUCCCCGGUAGGCCAUCAUGUGGAGUCUGCUUUACCUGUUGCUCUCCUGGAGCCAUACACAGCCCUGGAGGUACAGAGGACCACCUCUCUGUCUCUGGUUCAUUUGGAAGUUAAGAAACAAAGGUAUUUACACACUCACACUGUCUUUGCCACUUGUCAAGAUUUAACAUUGUACUAUUGUUUUCCCGUGAGUAAGGAGAAGGGAAUUGGGAUGCUGGUGCCCCUGCUAGAAAUGCUCCAGUCUGGUGACCCCACUGUCCAGUGUAACUCCUGUCAAUGUGCUGCCUUACUGGCCUCCUCAGACUUGGGAGGUGUCCGUGGUGAUGAGUGGUAGUGUGCUGGACGAGCAGCUGAAGAGGGUGCAUGCACAAACGGCGCAGACAAGAGUUAGAUCAUUCAGAAGCCUCCGUCCUCCUGACCUGUCCACUGGAGCCCUCUCUGCCUCAGGAGACAGACUGAGAUGUGGGACAUGCGUAUCACUGUUUGUCCUGACUUGCCAUUACCUUUGAACAUGACAAUGAUUGCUGCGGCAAGUCAUGAUUAUGAUGGGGUGUGUUAUUUUUGAGUGUUUACACUGGUGUGUUCUGAGGGUUUACGUCCAUAUUGCACUGGUGAAUAUAUAUAUAUAUAUUAUACAGAAUUCAAAAGCUUUGUAUCAGCGCAUUUCUUUAUUUGUUUUUACACUUUUGUACAUUUUAAUAAACAGGCUUACAUUUUACACUUCAGACUCUUUUUAUAAUUUGUUUUCUAAAAUGAUUGCACAAUUUCCAAGAAGGGGACAGCCAAAAAACUUUGCAAGUGGUCAACCACGAGUGAGUAUAGUACUAUAAACCACACAUGUACUGUAACUAUUCUGAAAAUAAGUUCCAUAGCAGAUUUAUAUAUUCCACAAAAAUAGGGAAAGUCAGACAAAGUGAUCUUUAUUUGAACUCAAAACUAAAGCUUUUAUUCUGAGACUAGUACACAAGUUCCAACACACAAACUAUCCUACUAUCUGCAAGGCAAAGUGCUUUAGUCAACGCUUCGGGAAUAAGCUAAAGCACAUGACUAAAAACAUCAGUCAUGAAUUGUGAAACAGAGAGAGAAUACAUCUUUUCACAAUCGAUUGCUGACUCCCACCGAAGCGAACUCAUUUUUUAUCACAGUUUAAAUCUACAGCUAUGCGGCCUGAGCCCUCAUUUAGACUAGAUAAGACAGUCAUUGCAGAAACACUGAACAAACAAGCUCCCAUGUCCAGUGUGGUAGAAUGUAGAUAGUGAUACCACAUGCAGCUCGUGCCACUUUGGAUUAAAGAGAAACGUGACCAAAUGGUGGUGAUCGACUCCGAGAUAGGAAAGUGUUCCAGGGAAAAGGAGUGUGCGUUGGUUUCACAUCACAUGGUGGUGAUCGACUCCGAGAUAGGAAAGUGUUCCAGGGAAAAGGAGUGUGCGUUGGUUUCACAUCACAUGCGCUCUCUCAAAGUGCAGGACAGGAAAAAGAGUGCAGUUAUUUUUUUCUUUGUUGAUGAAAGGAAAAAACACCACAGCUGUGGAAAGAUUCUUGGAUGGGUUGUCUCCCCUCUUUGAUCUGUACGAUACUCAGAUAACUUCUAAGGAGUAUGUAAUAGAAAAGGGUAAAUAUGAUCAAAUCAGUUGAUUCACUUCAUACUUAGCUUAGACUCAGAAGCACAUGCCACAAACAUUAUUGAUAGGCCUUAACUAUGCAAUCAGCUUCAUGGUUCGAAUCACACACAGUCUCUCAAGAUUCAAUCAUCUAUUGGGGUGUGGGGUGGUGAUUUGCUAUGGGGGUGCCCACUGCCCAGCCCACCCUUUCACUCCUGAAAUUUGAACCAUAAGCUCUUUUGUUCAGGACUCGAGUGUAAUAUCUACAUAGCAUAGAGCGUAUAGAUGAGCUGACGGAGGAUCUGGUAAUGAACUCUCACCUGCUCGCUGAUGGGACUGGAUCUCCUCCAUGCCUGUCAGAGUUCUCAGGGACCUGAAUGAAUUAACCAAAACGUGCUUGUCAACAAAUACAGUACAUCACUUCUGAUGACAAGCAUCACAAGACAUGAUCAGACAGACAAACAUAAAUAUACUGUGGAUAUACCUGCGUUCUUUGAAGGCCACAACAGGAACCAUGUCUUCUGUGUCACAAAGACCUAGCUUGGACGGCUUGGUCCCUGUCCCGACCUCUUCUAAAGUGCCUUUGAUAUUCUUAACAGGUUCAGUGUUCUCUUUUGGUUGGGCUUCCUCUGGAGAGGAAGAGUUACCGUUUGAGUUCCCAUUCAGGAUAGGCUUCUGCAUGAAAACAAAAUAAUGUACAUUUGGUCAAGGCAAAGGCAAGUUCUGUUUAUUUUUUAAAAGUAAAGUAUGGUUAAUAACGUUGGUAUUUGAGGCAGUGUUUUGCUAAAACCACUGUACCUUUGGGAUGGAGUUCUGCAUGAAAGUAAUCACAUCAGUGUGGUCAAGGGCAAGUUUGGUUUGUUUUUUAAAUGGUUAACAACUAUGAUACUUGUAGCAGGAAAAUACAAGUGUUUUUUUGUUUCAUUUUAAGCCAAAGAUGGGUAAACAUUGGGAGGUGUGGCAGAACCCGAGUGCUUCAGGGCAAUGUUCUUACUUCUUUCCUAGUUCUCCUCAUGAUCAACUCCAGUCGCUGAAAACAAAAAGAGGUCUGUUAAAAGUCUUGAAUGCUUUUAUGAUAAACUAUCACCCGCUAACCUCCCUCCAUCCCAUGUAUUGAAGUUCCCCAUGAGCUCCACUGUACAGGGAUCAUGGUUGCUGCUUGUAGUCAAUUGUACACAAUAUGGAUCCACAGAUUAUCUUAGAAGCAUUUCAGGAUGAUCAGAACAUUUCUCUCUGUCUCUCACCUUUUUUCUCUCCUGUCGUUGUUCCUCCUCCUCCUGGAAGUGUUUUUCUCUCUCCAGCCUUUGCUGCUCUGCCUUCUCCCUGGCCUGGGUCUCCUCCUCCUCUCUCUGGGACACAGAGAACGGAAAGGUCAGAACGGGACAAUGUAUUACUUAGUGUUUCAGUUAUAUAUCCAUCUAUAUCCUUUGAAGGUACAUAAAUAUCUGAUGGCAAUCUGACCAAAGCACUUUCUAGCACUGUACAGUAUUCAUAGACCACAUCCCUCACCUGUUUCUGGAGGAGAGCAGCUUCCUGCAUGGCUCUGAGGGCUUUCUCUUCUUCUGCACUGGCUCUCUCCUCCUCUGCAUGUUUCUGCUCCUCUUCCUCCCUCCUCUUCCUCUCCUCUACCAGCCACUUGGCCUCAGCCUCUAGCCGUGCUCGCUGCUCUACCCUCCUGCGUUCCAGCUCCUCUCUGCCUCGCCUGUGAUCCCACAUAACAUAACAUUUGCAUAACACCACACCAUACAUCACAUUACUAUACAAAUGAAUCUGAACCUCUGAACACAUGCUAAAUGCCCUCUUGGACUCCCUAAGCUGACAAAUAGGUCCACAAGACACAACUGCAUACUUGUAUUUUACACGAAAAGAUUACUCAACAGAUUGUGUUCAUACUGGGAAGAUUAAUGUUGGGUCAUUCGAAAGAGAGAUGGGAAGAUGUAAGGUGUCCCUCCCUCCGUACCUCUCAAACUCCUCCCUGCGCAGGCUUUCCUCCUCCUCUCUCUCUCUCUUCAGGCGGGCCUCUCUCCUCUUCUCGGCCAGGAGACGUGAGGCCUCCUCUGGGUCCAUGGUGCCAGCAGAGGGCCUUGGGCUGGGAGUGGCUCCAGGAGGGAGGGCUGAGGAGGUGGACAUGUCAUAGGAGUCACUCUGAACCAAAACACACUGAUCCAAAUUUCCUGAUUGUUUUUCAAAGAGUAGAACUGGAUAUUCUUCAUUGGAAUUGACCCCAACCCCACACUCAAGAAUACAAUAUCUGAAAUGUACCUAGAAAAUAUAUAGUAGUUGAUGGUGCUGUACCUUUCACUUUCAGAUGCUCACCCUCAUCUGCACUGCCUUCAGUACUAAGUGUGGUUUCUCUCUGAGUCUGAGGUUCUGGGGAGUGUAGGAAUGGUUGGACCUGGUCCC